CAUGACGGUCGUGGCGACAACGCGCACAAAUUGGUGUUGCCCCUUUGGCGGUCCAAUCUGGUUUUGACGGGUCAAAUGUCAAACCCUCCUUCCUAUUAAAACUUUGCCAAUUUGCCCCAAUUGCUCAAAAGAUUCAUCGAUCGCUCGUUUGUUUGUUUGUUUUUUUUUCAUCCCCAAAUCUAAUCUGUACACCACCCGAUUCUGCGUUGAAUCUAGGGCGGCGCGUGAAUUGCGCUUGCCGUGAAUCGGCCUCGUGUCUUAUAUCGCCGAAUCUGGAUGGGCCAGUCUCCGUCGAUCCACCAAUCCUGGCCUGGUGGGUCUACUCACCGUAACCGUAGUUGUUAUCCGAAGCCUGUUGCUAAACAUCGCCGAUCAAUGUCUGAUCAUUCACAGCAGGAUGUUUUGUCGAUGGUGCAGUCGGAUGAAGACGCCGCGCCAAGUUCGGAGGACGGUUUCGGAGGGUGCGAUUACAGCGACGGGGUUCCUGACGAAUGCUUAGCGCUGAUUUUUCAAUCCUUGAGCUCCGGUGACCGGAAAAGCUGCUCCCUCGUCUGCCGGAGGUGGCUCCUCGUGGAAGGACAGAGCCGCCACCGUCUCUCCCUCAACGCCAAAUCCGAUGUCCUCCCGCAUGUUCCUGCCAUCUUCUCUCGAUACGAUUCCGUUACCAAACUAGCCCUCCGCUGCGACCGCAAAUCCGUGAGCAUCAACGAUGAGGCUUUGGUCCAAAUCUCCCUCCGCUGCCGAAACCUCACGCGGCUGAAGCUGCACGGCUGCCGCGACGUCACCGAUGUCGGGAUGGCGGCGUUCGCGCAGAACUGUAAGAGCUUGAAAAAAUUCUCCUGCGGGACUUGCAUGUUCGGAGCCGAAGGUAUGAAUGCUCUGCUCGAUAACUGCUCUUCCCUUGAGGAACUAUCGGUCAAACGCCUCCGCGGCAUCAACGAUGGCCUCGCUGCUGAGCCAAUUGGCCCAGGAGCGGCGGCUUCGUCGCUGAAAUCGAUUUGUUUGAAAGAGCUUUAUAAUGGACAGUGCUUUGGACCAUUGAUCAUUGGGUCAAAGAAUUUAAGAACUCUUAAGCUAUUGCGUUGUUUGGGGGAUUGGGAUAGCAUUUUGGAGAAUGUUGCUUCUAGGCAAAAUUGUUUAGUUGAAAUGCAUUUAGAGCGCCUUCAAGUGAGUGAUGCUGGGCUCAUAGCAGUGUCCAAUUGUUUGGAAUUGGAGAUUUUACAUUUGGUUAGGACUCCUGAAUGCACAGAUGAAGGUGUUGUAGCAGUGGCUAAAAACUGUAAGCUAUUGAGGAAAGUUCACAUUGAUGGAUGGAGAACGAACCGGAUAGGCGAUGAUGCCUUGCUUGCUAUUGCUGAGAACAGUGCAAAACUUAAAGAGCUGGUCCUCAUUGGUUUAAACCCUACCUCCAUUAGUCUCUCUGCUAUUGCUUCUAAUUGUCAGCAAUUAGAAAGAUUGGCUCUUUGUGGUAGCGAGACAAUUGGUGAUCCUGAAGUGUCAUGUAUUGCCAGUAAAUGCGGGGCUCUGAAGAAGCUUUGUAUCAAGGGAUGUGAGGUGAGUGAUGAGGGGAUUAUGGCUUUCGCUUCGGGCUGUCCGAAUUUGGUGAAAAUUAAGGUCAAGAAAUGCAAACGUGUUACUGGAGGGGCUGCGGAUUCGUUGAGGGCAGCAAGGCAUUCCUUAGUGGUGAAUUUAGACGUUGAUGAAAUUGAAGCUGAGCCUGUGGAUGGUAGUACAAGCGAUGCUGGAGCACCAGAUGAAGGUGUAGAGUUCCACUCUGCUGUGAGUACAGUGACCAGUGGUGGUGGUGGUGGUGGUAGCGGUAGCGUUGUUGUUGAUGCUGAUAUGCCAUCGAGCAGUAAUGGAGGUCGAUCAUCGGCACCUAAGUCAAGGGGCUCGGCUGGAACAGACCUAUAAGGGUUGAAUCGUUCCACGCAUUCUGUGUUGAAUAUCAUCCAUGCUGUGGGAACACUGGGUGAACAAUGUCAAAUUGUUGAUUUCCCUGGGCGUUGAGGAAAUCCCCCUGGGAUUGAUAGAUCAACGGCUGACCAGUUCAACAAGACUGUGGAGCACAUUAUGAGGAGAAAAUAUAGGCAGAAGAGAGGAAGGUUCAGCCUGAAAUGUCAUGUAAACUACCAAUUUCCUGUUGGCAUUUCAGUGGCCCCGCAGCUUUUAGAUAUCUCAAUUGUAGAUCUGUUUUACCUCUGUGACUAACUGAGUUGUCCUGUACGGGCCUCAAUUGUAGAUCUGUGUAAAAUGUAAAUGACGAUUCCAAAAAAUAAAAUCAUACUCAGCUUCAUCACGUUA